rnacentral:rRNA from 1 species
AAUGGGCGAAAGCCUGACGGAGCAAUACCGCGUGAGGGAGGAAGGCUCUUGGGUUGUAAACCUCUUUUCUCAGGGAAGAAAAAAAUGACGGUACCUGAGGAAUAAGCAUCGGCUAACUCCGUGCCAGCAGCCGCGGUAAUACGGAGGAUGCAAGCGUUAUCCGGAAUGAUUGGGCGUAAAGCGUCCGCAGGUGGCGAUGAAAGUCUGCUGUUAAAGAGUGAGGCUCAACCUCAUAAAAGCAGUGGAAACUACAUAGCUAGAGUACGUUCGGGGCAGAGGGAAUUCCUGGUGUAGCGGUGAAAUGCGUAGAGAUCAGGAAGAACACCGGUGGCGAAAGCGCUCUGCUAGGCCU